rnacentral:rRNA from 1 species
AUUUAAGGUUCAUUUAUACGGUAAGGCGGUAAAUAAUUAUGAAUGACAUAAAUACUAUUGUAUAGUUUUCAUACUAAUUUAAUUAUAAUAUAAUUACUUUUAAAGUAAAUUAUAUUACCAGGACAAAGUUAAGGUAUAACCAAUCCUAUAUAUAAAUAUAAUAUAUAAGAAAUAUGUGAAUUGAAACAUCUAAGUAACAUAUGCAUUAACCAAGAGGGAAAAUAGAAGUACUGGUGAAGGAAACUAUAAAAGCAUUAAAGUAAUGCCAUGAGGUAUGAAUAAAGUAGUAACUACUACUAAUGCAAAUGAUAUUAAAUUAAGUAAGAAAGUACUGUGAGGGAAAGUAUAUAUUAUAGUAUAUUACUGAGCUAGUUAAAAAUAUAUAUAUAUUUAUUUAUAUAUUUAUAUAUAUAUUUUAGCAUAGAUACGAUGAGUAAAUCCCCCAUCUACAUUUAUGUAGAUGGGUGGAAGAAAAGAGUUCUAUUGUAUAUAUAUUUAUAUACUAAUUCAAUAGUAAAGAGAAGUUAUAGUAUAACGUACCUCUUGUAUUAUGGGUCAGCGAGUUAAUAUAAUAGGUGAAAUAUUAAUUAUAUAUAAUAAGAGAUAUAUAAAUAAUCUAUUAUAUUAGACCCGAAAGUAUAUGAUCUAUAUAUAACCAGGUUUUAUAAAUAUAUAUUGAAAAAGGUAUAUAUAUUGGUAAUGACGUAAUCACGCGCCUAAUACUUGUUUAGAACAAGGAUAGGCGCGUGGAGAUUUAUUAAAUUAUAAAGACCUAAUGAAUGAAUGUUGCAAUAUUCUUCAAUGAGUUAUGUAUAGUAGUGAAAGGCAAAUCUGAUAUACUAAUAGCUGGUUAUCUACGAAAUAUAUGUUAGUAUAGCCUUCAUAAAUAUAUAACAUGGUAAAGCACUAAAAAUUAUAUAGGGGUUUAAACUUACUUUAUAUUAUUAAUCUCUGAAACAUGUUUAUAAUUUAUUAUGAAGAGUCAGACAAUAUGCGAUAAGGUAUAUUGUCUAAAGGGGAACAACCCAGAUUAUUAUUCAAAAGUCCCUAAUCAAUACUGAGUGGAUAGAAUCCUAUACUUUUUAUUUUGGUCCAUAUUUUAUAUGCUAAUUUAAACCCAUUUACUAUAUUUAUAUAUAUAUAUUUAUAUAUAUAUCUAAAUCAUAGAGAAAUAUAUCGAUGUACAUAGGGUUAUAUAAUAUAGGUUUAUAUCAAUAAACAAAUGUAUUUUCACUGGGUAUAUGCGAUCUUUAUAAAGGCGCGGGAAUCUAGGAAUUGUGAGUAUCCGAUCAGUCGGUAAUGUUGAUAGUACAUAUCCGUUAACGAAAGUGUAAUAACUUACUGGUCAAAGAAACAUAAAUAUGCAUUUAUGCUCAUGAAAUAGGAAUAAAUAUACGGGCCUAAGUAUUGGACUGAGAAAUAGAUUACGGAUAUAGGUAUCCCCCGCGCAAUAUCAUUUUAUAUGAUAUUUGCGCGGGGAUUGAAUGAUAUUUAUGUAAUGGUAGUAGAUUAUACUAUAAUAAUUUAAUAGUAAAGAAAAUGCUGACUUGAGUAACGAUAGGUAAUUUUAGAUUACCCCUGAUACAUAUAAGGUUUUAUAAUAAAUUAACGGUCUCUAAUAUUAUAUAUUAAUAUAUAUAAUUGAUGAGUGAUAGGACAAGAAAAUAUUUUAACCGUACUGUAAACCGACUCAGGUAUAUGUAAUUAUAUUUAAUUUUUAUAUAUUUUUAAUAUAUAUAUAUAUAAAUAUAAAUAACAGGAAUGAGAUAACUAUUGUGAAUGAACUCGGCAAAAAAUAAUUGAUAUUAAUCAGUACGACUGUUCACCAUAAACAUAGCCUACUGCGAUCAGGUGACUGACAGUAUAGUAGGUGAUGCCUGCCCAGUGUAAGUUGGAUAAUAAAUAAUAAGCUUGUCAACGGCGGCCUUAUCAUGAGGGUCCGAAGGUAGCGUAAUACCUAGGCAUUUAAUUGGUGUCCUGCAUGAAUGUACACACGAUACUGAAACUGUAUCCACAAUAGACUCAGUGAAAUAAUAAUAGCAGUGAAGAUACUGUUUAGCUAUAGUAGGACAAGAAGACCCUAUGCAGCUUUACUAUACCUAUCUAAUGUAUAAUAUAUUUUAUAUGAGUUAACUUAUAUUUAAAUAUAGAUCUACUAAUAGUUCAGCGGUUUAGCCGCUAAGAGAACCAUGCCCGCAUUAAGGCGAAGGUUAUUAAAUUUUUAAAUAAAAAAUAAAUAGAACUAAACUUUGGAUAGUUGUUAGUUCCGAUGGGGCGUCGACAUCACACAAAAUAACUGAUGUGUCCAAUUAUAAAAAUUAUAAAAAAUAUAUUUAUAAAAAAAUAUUGAGAUAGCCCGCGCAAUACGUUAUACGUAUGCGCGGGCAUUAGAUAUUUAUAACAAAAUAAAGGUAAUAGAAUGACAAAGUAUGGUAAAUCUAAAUGGUUAUUAGAUAAAAAUGUAAAAUAGCAUUAUCAUGCAUAGAUUACAACACAAACGAGUGAAGUAAGUACUUAAGUAUAGUAUAUUGAACAGGCAAGAUCAUAUAGUGCUUGAGUGUCGAUUAACGGAUCACAGUUACGCUAGGGAUAACAGGGUAAUCCCACUAGAGAGUUGAUAUCGCCAGUGGGGUUUGCCACCUCGAUGUCGUCUAGGCUUAACCUCCUGGUCGUAGUUGUUGGGAAGGGUAUGACUGUUCGUCAUGUAAUAAGCCACUUGAGAUGGGUUAAGUACGACGUGAGUCAGUACGGAUUAUAUCCUCUAUAGCUUUUAAUAUUAUGAUAAAUUGUCUGUGUACGAAAGGAUUGGAUGAUAUUUCCCAAUGGUUAUAGGUUAUAUUUUAUAAAAUUAAAAUAUAAUAUAUUAAUACUAUAAGCUAAGGUAAUUAUGAGUAAUAAUGAAUGCAUAAAUCUAUGAAACUAAUCAUAAAUAUUAUAUAAACAUUAUAUAUUAUAAUGUAAUAGUAAUUUUAUUUAAGAUAAAAUAAACUAAUAAAAAAUGUCAUUCAGAAUAAUGAUAUUUCCCGUGAGGUUUAAAAAAC